rnacentral:tRNA from 1 species
GCGAAGGUGGCGGAAUUGGUAGACGCGCUAGCUUCAGGUGUUAGUGUUCUUACGGACGUGGGGGUUCAAGUCCCCGUGGCGGAAUUGGUAGACGCGCUAGCUUCAGGUGUUAGUGUCCUUACGGACGUGGGGGUUCAAGUCCCCCCCCUCGCACCA